GGUUUAACUCGUUUCAAAAUUCAUUUGAACGUACUUUUUCAUUGCAUUUAGUCGAAUCGGAGAGUAAGUGAUGCGCGUUGAAAUAAGUGUGCAUUGAUUGUUUUUUUUUAAGUUCAUUCCUGAAGUAUCUAGUUAUUGCGCGGACAUUCUGGCUUCAAGGCGGUGACAUAUAGUGAAAAUAAAUUUAAAUUUAAAAAUAAAAAUACAUUUUGAAAUUGUGGUUUGAAUGUAUGUGUUAGAUUGGUGGAGUUUAUAAACAGUAUUGUUUGUUUCUGAAGCCUUUCCAAAAUAAAAUCCGUAAAUGAAUUCAAGUCUCGUUUUAAGUGAGACCUUUAAACAAGUCUUUAAAUGAACGAAUGCGCUUAUGCUGAAAAGAAUAUUCCGCGCGGAAAAGUCGUAAGGAGAUCCCUUUGAAGGUCACUUUCAACGAAAAUCUACAGAUUUGAAGAGAUAUCGUUCUCGGAAGUAAGAUAAAGAAUUCCAAACAAAAUUCAACACCGAGUACUUAAUAAACAACAAACCACCCGAUAUUAUACUUAAUAAAAUAUUUAAAAAA